GCGUCUGUAGCCUAGUUGGUAAAGGCAGCACUCUAGUAUGUGUCUCAGCAUGGCUGAGGUCAUGAGUUCGACUCUCACCAGACACA
rfam:Puccinia triticina 1-1 BBBD Race 1 supercont2.1410, whole genome shotgun sequence.